UGCCGCUCAGCCAUCGCUCAUCAAUAUACUAUACAGUAUGUACAUAUUCUCAUUCACCCCUUUAGAUUUGUGUGUAUUAGGAUAGUUGUUGGUGGAAUUGUUAGAUAACUUGUUAGAUGUGUGUGUAUUAGGUAGUUGUUGGGAAUUGUUCGAUAUUACUGCACUGUUGGAACUAGAAGCACAAGCAUUUCGCUACACUCGCAUUAACAUCUUGUAAGCAUGUGUAUGUGACCAAUAAAAUGUUUUUUUUUUUUUUGACUUUUACUCAAGUAGUAUUUUAUUGGCUGGCUUUCACUUUUACUCAUGUAUGACAACUGGAUACUUUUUCCACCACUGCCCCUCUCAUUCUUUCCAGGCUUCUGGGAGGGAGGGUGGACAAUGAGCCUGUCAUAGCAGAUGUAAGCAAUGUCCUCACGUGCUCUGGCAGCUUUCAUGUCUGGGAUAAGUUCUUUCCUCUUCUGGCACACAGCUUCAGGAUAGUCCUAGUUGGGGAAGAUAUACACUCCUCUCAAGUUAUUAGCUUUUUCCAGAACAGCUACCUUGUUCUUGAACCUCAGGAACUUGACCACUAUCGGCCUGGGCCUGUCAACUGGGCGUUCUAGUACUGUGAGCACGCUCCACCUCAAUCUUCCUGUGGUCUAUCUUAAAUUUCUCAGAGAUCAUUUCCCUCACUUUGUCCUCAGACUCCAUCCAGGUCUCAUGUGGUGAUUCUGCAAUUCUGUCCACAACUAUGUUAUUCCUCAUUGAUUGUCGCUUGUGAUUUAUCCGCCAUUGUUAUCAUAGAUUCACUCACAGAACUGAUGUCUUCCCUGAAUUUUUCUUAAUUUAACUAGGCAAGUCAGUUAAGAACAAAUUCUUAUUUACAAUGACGGCCUAGGAACAGUGGGUUAACUGCCUUGUUUUAGGGGCAAAACAACAGAUGUUUACCUUGUCAGCUCGGGGAUUCGAUCUAGCAACCUUUCGGCAACUGGCCCAACGCUCUAACCACUAGGCUACCUGCCGUCCCUAAAUCGCUGUCAUCUUGCCAUUCUCCUGUUUCAACUCAUCGAGCUGACCCUGGGAGAACUGAAAGCUGUUCUUCAGGUCCUGGAACUCUCUGGUCAGGUCAUCCAUUUUCUGUGGAGGUCCACAGAGCUGUUUAGAGGCAUCCAGCUAAUAGUUGAAGGAGGCUUUGUUGCGAAAUAGGAAGCCGAUUCUAGAUUUAAUUUUGGAUUGGAGAUGCUUAAUGUGAGUCUGGAAGGAGAGUUUACAGUCUAACCAGACACCUAGGUAUUUGUAGAUGUCCACUUAGUUUUACUAGCAUUUAAAAGCAGGUGGAGGCCACUGAAGGAGUGCUGUAUGGCAUUGAAGCUCGUUUGGAGGUUUGUUAGCAGUGUCCAAAGAAGGGCCAGGUGUAUACAGAAUGGUGUAGUCUGCGUAGAGGUGGAUCAGAGAGUCACCAGCAGCAAGAGCGACAUCACUGAUAUAUACAGAGAGAAGAGUCGGCCCGAGAAUUGAACCCUGUGGCACCCCCAUAGAGACUGCCAGAGGUCUGGACAACAGGCCCUCUGAUUUGACACACUGAACUCUGAGAAGUAGUUGGUGAACCAGAACAUCAACUGUCUGGAUUUGGGUGAAGGAGGAGGAGGGGGGGGGGCGAGCUGCUGCAGGGGGUGCUGAGAUGUUGGCCGAGGUAGGGGUAGCCAGUUAGAGAGCAUGGCCAGCAGUAGAAAAAUGCUUAUUGAAAUGAUUGAUUAUCGUAAAUUUAUCGGUGGUGACAGUGUUUCCUAUCCUGCAGUGGGCAGCUGGAAGGAGGUGCUCUUAUUCUCCAUGGAUUUUACAGUGUCCCAAAACUUUUUGUAAUUAGUGCUAUAGGAUGCACAUUUCUGUUGAAAAAGCUAGCGUUAGCUUUCCUAACUGACUGAGUAUAUUGGUUCCUGACUUCCCUGAAAAGUUGCAUAUCGUGGGGGCUAUUCGAUGCUAAUGCAGAACGCCACAGGAUGCUAGUCAAGGGCAGUCAAGUCUGAGGUGAACCAAGGGCUAUAUCUGUUCUUAGUUCUAGAUUUUUUGAAUGGGGCAUGCUUAUUUAAGAUGGUGAGGAAAGCACUUUUAAAGAGCAACCAGGCAUCUUCUACUGAUGGGAUGAGGUCAAUAUCCUUCAAGGAUAGCCGGGCCAGGUCGAUUAGAAAGGCCUGCUCGCUGAAGUGUUUUAUGGAACGUUUGACAGUUAUGAGGGGUGGUCGUUUGACCGCAGACCCCAUUACGCGCACAGGCAAUGAGGCAGUGAUCGCUGAGAUCCUCGUUGAAGACAGCAGAGGUGUAUUUAGAGGGCAAGAUGACGAUAAAAGC
rnacentral:lncRNA from 1 species